rnacentral:tRNA from 1 species
ACAAUGGAGGUUCAGUGGUAGAAUCCUCGCCUUCCACGCAGGAGACCCGGGUUCGAUUUCUGGCCAGCGCA